CCUACGGGUGGCAGCAGUGAGGAAUAUUGGUCAAUGGCCGGAAGGCUGAACCAGCCAUGCCGCGUGAAGGUCAGUGCCCUAUGGGCGGUAAACCUCUUUUGUACGGGAGCAAUAAUUGUCACGGGUGGCCAGACGAGCGUACCGUACGAAUAAGCAUCGGCUAACUCCGUGCCAGAAGCCGCGGUAAAAGGGGGGAGGCAGGAGUUGUCCGGAUUUAUUGGGUUUGAAGCGUGCGUAGGGUGGGUGGUAAGUCAGCGGUGAAAUGCUCCCGGGCAAAGGGAUAGAGUGCCAUUGAUACUGCCAAGCUGGAAUGCAGAUGCGGAGGGAGGAAGGCGUGGUGUAGCGGUGAAAUGCGUAGAUAU
rnacentral:rRNA from 1 species